GGAAUUAAGCAUAUAAGUAAGCGGAGGAUAAGAAACUAAAUAGGAUUCCCUCAGUAAUGGCGAAUGAACAGGGAUAAGCUCAGCAUGGAAAUUGGGGCCCUCGGCCUUGAAUUGUAGUCUUGAGAUGUGUUACCAACGGAGGCGCAGAUGUAAGCCUCUUGGAAAAGAGCGUCAGGGAGGGUGAGAGUCCCGUAUGUCAUCUGCAGUUCUCUGUGCACGGUGCAUGUUCUAAGAGUCACGUUCCUCGGGAUUGGAGCGCAAAUUGGGUGGUAAAUUUCAUCUAAAGCUAAAUAUUGGUUCGAGACCGAUAGCAAACAAGUACCAUGAGGGAAAGGUGAAAAGGACUUUGAAAAGAGAGUUAAAAGUGCCUGAAAUUGCUGAAAGGGAAGCGAAUGGAACCAGUUGUUCUUGGUGAGUAUUGGUGUUGUCUAAAGUGAUGGCUUGCCACUUCAACGCAAGUGUGGUGGCAGGUUUUGAUCUGGAUGCGAUACUGCUUCUCGCCUUGCAUGUCAACGUCAGUUCAUAAUUGAGGAAAACUCUAAGGACAUGGUAAUUCGCUUCCGAGUGACUGAAUGUCCUCAGUUGAACUCAUUUUUGAACUGCUCUCUGUGUGUCUGGUAGCACUGCUUCAUGUGCUUGCCUGCGAUCUUCUGCUCUGCAUGAAGGUUGUUGGUGCCAGGAGCAUGUCCUUGACAUUAGAACGAUGACGAAAUGGUUUUAUUCGACCCG
rnacentral:rRNA from 1 species